UAAUUUGGUUGGUGUAUGAAG
ensembl:piRNA 21ur-4126 ncRNA